rnacentral:misc_RNA from 1 species
GAUGAAGAACGUAGCGAAAUGCGAUACUUGGUGUGAAUUGCAGAAUCCCGUGAACCAUCGAGUCUUUGAACGCAAGUUGCGCCCGAAGCCAUUAGGCCGAGGGCACGCCUGCCUGGGCGUCACACGUCGUUGCCCCCCCAUCUACUCCUUCGGGAUUGCGGGGGCGGAUGAUGGCCUCCCGUGCGCCUCGUCGCGCGGUUGGCAUAAAUACCAAGUCCUCGGCGACGCACGCCACGACAAUCGGUGGUUGCGAAACCUCGGUUGCCCGUCGUGUGCGGUCGUCGCGCAUCGAGGGCUCGAAAAAAUUGCCGGGCUCCGGCUCGGCUUUCAACGCGACCCCAGGUCAGGCGGGGUUACCCGCUGAAUUUAAGCAUAUCAAUAAGCGGAGGA